GAUGAACGCUGGCGGCGUGCCUAAUACAUGCAAGUCGAACGCUGAAGCUUGGUGCUUGCACCGAGCGGCUGAGUUGCGAACGGGUGAGUAACGCGUAGCUUACCCUCCUCUUAGCGGGGGAUCACUGUAGCAAACGCUAGCAAAUACCGCAUAAGAGUCGCGAUCGCAUGAUCUUGAUAUGAAAGGUGCAAAUUCAUCACUAUCAGAUGGUCCUGCUUUGUUUUAGCUGGUUGGUGAGGUAACGGCGCACCCAGGCGACGUUACAUAGCCGACCUGAGAGGAUGAUGGGCCACACUGAGACGGUGACACGGCCCAGAGGCCUAGGGGAGGCGGCAGUAGGGAAUCUUCGGCAAUGGGGGCAACACUGACCGAGCAACGCCGCGUGAGUGAGGAAGGUUUUCGGAUCGGAAAGCUCUGUUGUAAGAGAGGAACGAGUGUGAGAGUGGAAAGUUCACACUGUGACGGUAACUUACCAGAAAGGGACGGCUAACUACGUG
rnacentral:rRNA from 1 species